CUCAAUAGUAUUUCAAUUUGCAGGGGUGUGGAGGGGGUGGGGUGGGGGCGUGACAGAAAAUAGUUGAGGAGCAGAGUGAACUGAAGUGCUGCUGAAGAUCUGAAGCCUGGAAGUAAUGAUGCCUCAGGCAGAAUGACGAUCAACAACAACAACAACAACAACAAAAACCUCCCACUGUUAAAUCCGUCCUGUGAUUAUCUUCAUAGUUUUUUCUCUGCCCUUUGACUGUGAAUUUGCAUCAAUGCUCAUGUAGGUGAGAUUCAAGCACUAUAAAAAUACACAAACACAAAAUUUGACAUAAACCUAAGAGCCGCAUGUGGCUCACGAGCCGCGGGUUGGCCCUCCCUGGACUGUCCCUGGUCCAGGCUGAUCCGUUCAGAUAUUUCUUUUAUUUUCAGUCACCAGUGGAUGUCGCUGUAAGUCAUCUGUGAGGCAGAGACAUAUUUCCACUUCCUCAUUGCUUCACAAGCAACUGUCAGGCAGCUGAGGUGGAUGUAGGUGUGUGUGUGUGUGUGUGUGUGUGUGUGUGUGUAUAUGUGCUGGGCAUGCAGUGAACCUUGAUGGAACUCUUCAAAACUGACAGUCAGUCUAAUCACAUCUUCACAGAGUUUCAUCAGUGUGUGUGUGUGUGUGUGUGUGUGUGUGUGUGUGUGUCUGUGUCUGUGUGUGUGUGUCUGUGUCUGUGUGUGGAUGGAGAGACAGUGAGAACGAUCUCUAUUUCUUGCAGGGCCAUCACCAAGGGCAGACCUCAAAAUAAGUGAGUGAUGUCAUAUUUUAAACCCUCCUCUUACACCAGUGCUCAUGGACCAGGACCAGGACCAGGACCAGGACCAGGACCAGGACCAGGACACUGGAGGGUUCUGGUUUCUUCGGCCACUAAAAACAGCUAGCUUCAACUACAACGUACAACUUUUGGCAGUAGCUUUGACCACCGGUGAUUUCCUCAGUAAAUGGAGUGCUCUCCACGCAUGUCAAGGACGAGGCCGGAGUACAAACAAUCACCAGGAAACUUGAUCCCACGGAAAGAAAUGAGGUCAACUGUAACAGAUCUCUCUGGAGAGAUUAACUGGUUUGGACCCAGAAGCGAACAGAGGAAAUGUGCAAAGUUCAUCAAAUGUUUGAAGGCCUGAGUUUUCAGUGCACAGCACAGAGGAGCGCAGCGGCGAGGUUCCAGCCAGCAAGACAUGAGGGCAGGAAUAGGAAAAGUCACCUUGAGCUGUCGGAACAUGGCUUGACUGAGAUACCGGGCAGUACAGGGAGGUAAGGCCUAACAAUCUAACUGACACAGUGGCAGUGGAAAAACCCAAAAAUGAUACUUGACAAGACAAUGUUUGGUGUCCAGACUCCUCCUCCAGAUUAUAUACA